rnacentral:rRNA from 1 species
GGCCUAACACAUGCAAGUCGAGCGGUAGCACAGAGAGCUUGCUCUCGGGUGACGAGCGGCGGACGGGUGAGUAAUGUCUGGGAAACUGCCUGAUGGAGGGGGAUAACUACUGGAAACGGUAGCUAAUACCGCAUAACGUCGCAAGACCAAAGUGGGGGACCUUCGGGCCUCAUGCCAUCAGAUGUGCCCAGAUGGGAUUAGCUGGUAGGUGGGGUAACGGCUCACCUAGGCGACGAUCCCUAGCUGGUCUGAGAGGAUGACCAGCCACACUGGAACUGAGACACGGUCCAGACUCCUACGGGAGGCAGCAGUGGGGAAUAUUGCACAAUGGGCGCAAGCCUGAUGCAGCCAUGCCGCGUGUGUGAAGAAGGCCUUCGGGUUGUAAAGCACUUUCAGCGGGGAGGAAGGCGGUGAGGUUAAUAACCUCACCGAUUGACGUUACCCGCAGAAGAAGCACCGGCUAAUCCGUGCCAGCAGCCGCGGUAAUACGGAGGGUGCAAGCGUUAAUCGGAAUUACUGGGCGUAAAGCGCACGCAGGCGGUCUGUCAAGUCGGAUGUGAAAUCCCCGGGCUCAACCUGGGAACUGCAUUCGAAACUGGCAGGCUAGAGUCUUGUAGAGGGGGGUAGAAUUCCAGGUGUAGCGGUGAAAUGCGUAGAGAUCUGGAGGAAUACCGGUGGCGAAGGCGGCCCCCUGGACAAAGACUGACGCUCAGGUGCGAAAGCGUGCAAACAGGAUUAGAUACCCUGGUAGUCCACGCUGUAAACGAUGUCGAUUUGGAGGUUGUGCCCUUGAGGCGUGGCUUCCGGAGCUAACGCGUUAAAUCGACCGCCUGGGGAGUACGGCCGCAAGGUUAAAACUCAAAUGAAUUGACGGGGGCCCGCACAAGCGGUGGAGCAUGUGGUUUAAUUCGAUGCAACGCGAAGAACCUUACCUGGUCUUGACAUCCACAGAACUUUCCAGAGAUGGAUUGGUGCCUUCGGGAACUGUGAGACAGGUGCUGCAUGGCUGUCGUCAGCUCGUGUUGUGAAAUGUUGGGUUAAGUCCCGCAACGAGCGCAACCCUUAUCCUUUGUUGCCAGCGGUCCGGCCGGGAACUCAAAGGAGACUGCCAGUGAUAAACUGGAGGAAGGUGGGGAUGACGUCAAGUCAUCAUGGCCCUUACGACCAGGGCUACACACGUGCUACAAUGGCAUAUACAAAGAGAAGCGACCUCGCGAGAGCAAGCGGACCUCAUAAAGUAUGUCGUAGUCCGGAUUGGAGUCUGCAACUCGACUCCAUGAAGUCGGAAUCGCUAGUAAUCGUAGAUCAGAAUGCUACGGUGAAUACGUUCCCGGGCCUUGUACACACCGCCCGUCACACCAUGGGAGUGGGUUGCAAAAGAAGUAGGUAGCUUAA